rnacentral:rRNA from 1 species
GACGAACGCUGGCGGCGUGCUUAACACAUGCAAGUCGAGCGGAAAGGCCCUUUCGGGGGUACUCGAGCGGCGAACGGGUGAGUAACACGUGAGUAAUCUGCCCUUGGCUUUGGGAUAACCACCGGAAACGGUGGCUAAUACCGGAUAUGACGGGCUCCGGCAUCGGGGUUCGUGGAAAGUUUUUCGGCCAGGGAUGUGCUCGCGGCCUAUCAGCUUGUUGGUGGGGUAAUGGCCUACCAAGGCUUCGACGGGUAGCCGGCCUGAGAGGGUGACCGGCCACACUGGGACUGAGACACGGCCCAGACUCCUACGGGAGGCAGCAGUGGGAAUAUUGGACAAUGGGCGGAAGCCUGAUCCAGCAACGCCGCGUGAGGGAUGACGGCCU